UACCCGUACCGUAGUCGUACUUUUACUUUACGAGAUAGAAGUAACUUCGUGGUCAUCGGUGACAGGUGGCGCAUGGUUGUCGUCAGCUCGUGUCGUGAGAUGUUGGGUUAAGUCCCGCAACGAGCGCAACCCCUAUUGUUAGUUGCCAUCAUUCAGUUGGGCACUCUAGCGAGACUGCCGGUAAUAAACCGGAGGAAGGUGGGGAUGACGUCAAAUCAUCAUGCCCCUUAUGACCUGGGCUACACACGUGCUACAAUGGUUGGUACAACGAGUUGCGAGUCGGUGACGGCGAGCUAAUCUCUUAAAGCCAAUCUCAGUUCGGAUUGUAGGCUGCAACUCGCCUACAUGAAGUCGGAAUCGCUAGUAAUCGCGGAUCAGCACGCCGCGGUGAAUACGUUCCCGGGCCUU
rnacentral:rRNA from 1 species